rnacentral:rRNA from 1 species
UACGUAGGGUGCAAGCGUUACUCGGAAUUACUGGGCGUAAAGCGUGCGUAGGCGGUUUGUUAAGUCCGUUGUGAAAACCCGAGGCUCAACCUCGGGCCUGCAGUGGGUACGGGCAGACUAGAGUGCGGUAGGGGAGAUUGGAAUUCCUGGUGUAGCGGUGGAAUGCGCAGAUAAUCAGGAGGAACACCAAUGGCGAAGGCAGAUCUCUGGGCCGUAACUGACGCUGAGGAGCGAAAGCAUGGGGAGCGAACAGG